rnacentral:rRNA from 1 species
UGGUGGAGUGAUUUGUCUGGUUAAUUCCGUUAACGAACGAGACCUCGACCUGCUAAAUAGUGAGCAUGAUCCUAGAUCGUGACUAACUUCUUAGAGGGACUCUCGGUGUGUAGCCGAUGGAAGUUCGAGGCAAUAACA